rfam:Eutrema salsugineum unplaced genomic scaffold scaffold_1, whole genome shotgun sequence.
AACCCAUGGUGUGGGCAUUGGUUAGUGUAGCUCCUGAAUCUUUCCCAUGCUUCACCAAAACUCUCAUUGGUAUGUUGAGUGAAAUUGGAGAUUUGGUUUCUCAGCUU